GUGGGGAAUAUUGGACAAUGGGCGAAAGCCUGAUCCAGCCAUGCCGCGUGUGUGAAGAAGGUCUUCGGAUUGUAAAGCACUUUAAGUUGGGAGGAAGGGCAGUAAGUUAAUACCUUGCUGUUUUGACGUUACCGACAGAAUAAGCACCGGCUAACUUCGUGCCAGCAGCCGCGGUAAUACGAAGGGUGCAAGCGUUAAUCGGAAUUACUGGGCGUAAAGCGCGCGUAGGUGGUUUUGUAAGUUGGAGGUGACAUCCCCGGGCUCAACCUGGGAACUGCCUCCAAAACUGCAUGACUAGAGUACGGUAGAGGGUCGUGGAAUUUCCUGUGUAGCGGUGAAAUGCGUAGAUAUAGGAAGGAACACCAGUGGCGAAGGCGACUACCUGGACUGAUACUGACACUGAGGUGCGAAAGCGUGGGGAGCAAACAGGAUUAGAAACCCUAGUAGUCC
rnacentral:rRNA from 1 species